GGCCUGGUGGUGUAGUGGUAGCGCACUCUUUCCUAUUCUGAGUUUGAUGUAUCAGAGUCGGAGGAGGUCCCCCGUUCCAUCCGGGGCCAGGCCG